GUAAUGUCUGGGAAACUGCCUGAUGGAGGGGGAUAACUACUGGAAACGGUGGCUAAUACCGCAUAACGUCGCAAGACCAAAGAGGGGGACCUUCGGGCCUCUUGCCAUCAGAUGUGCCCAGAUGGGAUUAGCUUGUUGGUGAGGUAACGGCUCACCAAGGCGACGAUCCCUAGCUGGUCUGAGAGGAUGACCAGCCACACUGGAACUGAGACACGGUCCAGACUCCUACGGGAGGCAGCAGUGGGGAAUAUUGCACAAUGGGCGCAAGCCUGAUGCAGCCAUGCCGCGUGUAUGAAGAAGGCCUUCGGGUUGUAAAGUACUUUCAGCGGGGAGGAAGGUGUUGUGGUUAAUAACCGCAGCAAUUGACGUUACCCGCAGAAGAAGCACCGGCUAACUCCGUGCCAGCAGCCGCGGUAAUACGGAGGGUGCAAGCGUUAAUCGGAAUUACUGGGCGUAAAGCGCACGCAGGCGGUCUGUCAAGUCGGAUGUGAAAUCCCCGGGCUCAACCUGGGAACUGCAUUCGAAACUGGCAGGCUUGAGUCUUGUAGAGGGGGGUAGAAUUCCAGGUGUAGCGGUGAAAUGCGUAGAGAUCUGGAGGAAUACCGGUGGCGAAGGCGGCCCCCUGGACAAAGACUGACGCUCAGGUGCGAAAGCGUGGGGAGCAAACAGGAUUAGAUACCCUGGUAGUCCACGCCGUAAACGAUGUCUACUUGGAGGUUGUGCCCUUGAGGCGUGGCUUCCGGAGCUAACGCGUUAAGUAGACCGCCUGGGGAGUACGGCCGCAAGGUUAAAACUCAAAUGAAUUGACGGGGGCCCGCACAAGCGGUGGAGCAUGUGGUUUAAUUCGAUGCAACGCGAAGAACCUUACCUGGUCUUGACAUCCACAGAAGAAUCCAGAGAUGGAUUUGUGCCUUCGGGAACUGUGAGACAGGUGCUGCAUGGCUGUCGUCAGCUCGUGUUGUGAAAUGUUGGGUUAAGUCCCGCAACGAGCGCAACCCUUAUCCUUUGUUGCCAGCGGUUAGGCCGGGAACUCAAAGGAGACUGCCAGUGAUAAACUGGAGGAAGGUGGGGAUGACGUCAAGUCAUCAUGGCCCUUACGACCAGGGCUACACACGUGCUACAAUGGCGCAUACAAAGAGAAGCGACCUCGCGAGAGCAAGCGGACCUCAUAAAGUGCGUCGUAGUCCGGAUUGGAGUCUGCAACUCGACUCCAUGAAGUCGGAAUCGCUAGUAAUCGUGGAUCAGAAUGCCACGGUGAAUACGUUCCCGGGCCUUGUACACACCGCCCGUCACACCAUGGGAGUGGGUUGCAAAAGAAGUAGGUAGCUUAACCUUCGGGAGGGCGCUUACCACUUUGUGAUUCAUGACUGGGGUGAAGUCGUAACAAGGUAACCGUAGGGGAACCUGCGGUUGGAUCACCUCCUUACCUUAAAGAA
rnacentral:rRNA from 2 species